UACAGAGGUCUCGAGCGUUAGGCGGAAUCACUGGGCUUAAAGCGUGUGUAGGCGGGUCGUUAAGUGCCUUGUGAAAUCCCAUGGCUCAACCAUGGAACUGCUGGGCAUACUGGCGAUCUUGUGCCACCUAGGGGCGAGCGGAACAGAUGGUGGAGCGGUGAAAUGCGUAGAUAUCAUCUGGAACGCCAAGUGGUGAAAACAGCUCGCUGGGGGUGUGGCAGACGCUGAGACACGAAAGCCAGGGGAGCGAACGGG
rnacentral:rRNA from 1 species